rnacentral:rRNA from 1 species
CAGGGAAUAUUGGGCAAUGGGCGCAAGCCUGACCCAGCGAUGCCGCGUGAGGGAUGAAGGCCUUCGGGUCGUAAACCUCUUUCGGCGGGGAAGAAGCCACGGGUAACCGUGGUGACGGUACCCGCAGAAGAAGCCCCGGCUAACUACGUGCCAGCAGCCGCGGUAAUACGUAGGGGACUAGCGUUGCCCGGAUUCACUGGGCGUAAAGCGCGUGUAGGCGGUCCGUUAAGUCGGAUGUGAAAGCUCCAGGCUCAACCUGGAAAUUGCAUCCGAUACUGGCGGACUUGAGGACGGUAGAGGUCGGUGGAAUGGCGAGUGUACCGGUGAAAUGGGCAGAUAUUCGCCAGAACACCAGUGGCGAAGGCGGCCGACUGGGCCGUUCCUGACGCUGAGACGCGAAAGCCAGGGUAGCGAACCG